rnacentral:rRNA from 1 species
CUAUACAUGCAGUCGAGCGAACGGACGAGAAGCUUGCUUCUCUGAUGUUAGCGGCGGACGGGUGAGUAACACGUGGAUAACCUACCUAUAAGACUGGGAUAACUUCGGGAAACCGGAGCUAAUACCGGAUAAUAUUUUGAACCGCAUGGUUCAAAAGUGAAAGACGGUCUUGCUGUCACUUAUAGAUGGAUCCGCGCUGCAUUAGCUAGUUGGUAAGGUAACGGCUUACCAAGGCAACGAUGCAUAGCCGACCUGAGAGGGUGAUCGGCCACACUGGAACUGAGACACGGUCCAGACUCCUACGGGAGGCAGCAGUAGGGAAUCUUCCGCAAUGGGCGAAAGCCUGACGGAGCAACGCCGCGUGAGUGAUGAAGGUCUUCGGAUCGUAAAACUCUGUUAUUAGGGAAGAACAUAUGUGUAAGUAACUGUGCACAUCUUGACGGUACCUAAUCAGAAAGCCACGGCUAACUACGUGCCAGCAGCCGCGGUAAUACGUAGGUGGCAAGCGUUAUCCGGAAUUAUUGGGCGUAAAGCGCGCGUAGGCGGUUUUUUAAGUCUGAUGUGAAAGCCCACGGCUCAACCGUGGAGGGUCAUUGGAAACUGGAAAACUUGAGUGCAGAAGAGGAAAGUGGAAUUCCAUGUGUAGCGGUGAAAUGCGCAGAGAUAUGGAGGAACACCAGUGGCGAAGGCGACUUUCUGGUCUGUAACUGACGCUGAUGUGCGAAAGCGUGGGGAUCAAACAGGAUUAGAUACCCUGGUAGUCCACGCCGUAAACGAUGAGUGCUAAGUGUUAGGGGGUUUCCGCCCCUUAGUGCUGCAGCUAACGCAUUAAGCACUCCGCCUGGGGAGUACGACCGCAAGGUUGAAACUCAAAGGAAUUGACGGGGACCCGCACAAGCGGUGGAGCAUGUGGUUUAAUUCGAAGCAACGCGAGAACCUUACCAAAUCUUGACAUCCUUUGACAACUCUAGAGAUAGAGCUUUCCCCUUC